AGAAACAACCAUAGAUAAGUUUGUGAUAAGACCCAGCAGAUUACAAAAAGAGAAACAAUUGAUACAUCAGGAAAUGCACGCACACAGAAGAAUACUUACAAGAAAUAACAGUAAAAGCUAUAACAAACUGUGGGGAAAAAAAUCCAAAUGUCUAGUAUGCAGCUUGGUCACAGACAAUGCUGCAAAUGUAUCCAAAAUGAGAAGAAAUUAUUUA